rnacentral:misc_RNA from 1 species
AGCGUGUGCGGUAAACAGAGGCCGUCUGCCGCACCCUCACUCCCCUUUCCUAUGCAUGUAAUGAGAUACAUAGCCCCAUCUUCGAUGCCUCCCGUACGCGCGCUGCUCUCCGCUUGAGAUGUGGCCCUUGCGCAGCCGUGGCCGCAGUACUGCUGUUGCUGUUGCUGCUGAUGCUCACCGUCACCUCAACGUCAGCCGUCGUCCUCUCCGCCACGGCGGCAGCCACGACAUGCGACACCCCCUCACUACACCGCAUGCGACGCCCGCUGUCAUCUUACGUGCUUUGUGGGCGAAGGCGGCAGCCACUACACUCCCCGUGCACGGCUACUUCCAGCUACCGCCGCCACAAUACCUCCCCCUAACUGCAUCAACCGCAUCGCCAACAAGUGACUCUACUGCGAGGACAGCCACUGCACUAAGAGUGGCGUCUGCGCACCGUGCGAGGAGGCGCGCUCGCCGACCGCUGCAUCACCUGUGAGGAGGGUUACACACUGAGGUACACCCGAGACGACAACGCCGGCACGAACAUCAGCAAGCUGGACGCGUGCGAGAGGAAAACGGCUCCCGCUGCUGGCAAUGCCCGCCUCAUGCGGGCAUCUGUCGCUCACGCAGUGACCCUUCGCACCCUCUCCGCUGCCGCGCUGUGUGCCUUCUGCGUGACACCGUGUUUCCUUUCAGGUGGCCUGCGAGGCGCGCGACAGAGAGGCGUUGUGACUUCUCCUGCUGAAGGGAAGGCGGUGACUCGUUGGGCGGAGAGCUUCCCUGCUCACUCCCCACAUUUUCUUUUUGCGUUGUCCGUGACGCACCCCUCACCGCUUCUUGUUCGACUGACCUCAUCGCUUACCCCGUCUCCGUGUUGUGUCUUCGGCCGAUCACUGCCGUUCUCUGUGUGUGUGUGCCCGUCUCUGCCUCUGCAUGCUUGCGCCGCAUCCUUCUUUUGCGCUGCCCUCUUGCUCAUGUGCACGUACCCCUUUCUCGCCCUCCUCCCCAUGUCUGCCACUGGGUGUGAGACGUGAUGGACAAGGGAAGAGGUAGACAGCGCACGGCUGUAGAGCUUAUCAAACCGAUAAGCAGCGAUUCCACAAGGGGCGGUGCGCAAGCGGUCAGCGCACCCCCUCCUCUGGCGACGCUCAAUACGUUGGCGCCAUCACCCGUGGCAGACCAGAAAAGUAUGGAUGGGGGGGCCCAUCAGCUGCGUAAAUCGCCGUCCUCUUACCCCCCCCCCCCCCCCCCCCCCACUUUCUCUGAUCUCACACCUGCGAGGGCAGGAAACAUCGAUGCGUGUGUGCGCCUGUGAUGGCGGCGUAUGCGAGAGGGUGCGCGGGGCGUGUGGAAAGCACCUCUCUGUAUGUGCGUGAAUGACCGACUCAUCGACGCCUGCACUCCGACACCGCCAUGAUGAUGAUGGCCAUCGCGCAUGCAGAUGGGCACACGGAGAGGGUGACAGAAAUGACAGAUGCACUCGAGGGGACGCACGAGCUGCGAGUUGAAGAGCCGGCCGGAAGUGGGCAGCGGGGUGCCCGCCUCCCCCCCCCCCCCCCCCCCCCCCCGCAAACCCCACGCGAGGAAAGCGCUGCCACACCAAAGGAAGAGAUCGAAAACGAACACACACACACACGAAGGAGCGUUCGCGGAGAGGGAGAGAGAAGGAGGUGAGAGCACCCGGAGUGGUCGCCGGUGCGGUGCCGGCCGGUGCCGGCUUGAAUUUCAUAUUUUCUUGGUUUGAUUGCGGGUGUCGAGAAGUCGGCGGUCGAUGCUGUGGCGAGGUUGAUCAGGUCACGCAUCUGUGGCGUCGCUAUUUCUCUUGGCCUGUCACCUUGCCUCUUCCACUCCCUCUCUCUCGUGCCUCUGCGCUCGAUUUUAACGUCCGUCUUCUCCAACUAAUCUCCGUGUGCAGUCUCUGCUGUGGCAGCAACGCACCGGCGUCUUCGCUUGUGUAUGGCAGGCGUGGGUAACUCUGUGCGCACCGCAC